rnacentral:rRNA from 1 species
UACGGAGGGUGCAAGCGUUAAUCGGAAUUACUGGGCGUAAAGCGCACGCAGGCGGUCUGUCAAGUCGGAUGUGGAAUCCCCGGGCUCAACCUGGGAACUGCAUUCGAAACUGGCAGGCUAGAGUCUUGUAGAGGGGGGUAGAAUUCCAGGUGUAGCGGUGAAAUGCGUAGAGAUCUGGAGGAAUACCGGUGGCGAAGGCGGCCCCCUGGACAAAGACUGACGCUCAGGUGCGAAAGCGUGGGGAGCAAACAGG